GUUAAGCGACUAAGCGUACACGGUGGAUGCCCUGGCAGUCAGAGGCGAUGAAGGACGUGCUAAUCUGCGAUAAGCGUCGGUAAGGUGAUAUGAACCGUUAUAACCGGCGAUUUCCGAAUGGGGAAACCCAGUGUGUUUCGACACACUAUCAUUAACUGAAUCCAUAGGUUAAUGAGGCGAACCGGGGGAACUGAAACAUCUAAGUACCCCGAGGAAAAGAAAUCAACCGAGAUUCCCCCAGUAGCGGCGAGCGAACGGGGAGCAGCCCAGAGCCUGAAUCAGUGUGUGUGUUAGUGGAAGCGUCUGGAAAGGCGCGCGAUACAGGGUGACAGCCCCGUACACAAAAAUGCACAUGCUGUGAGCUCGAUGAGUAGGGCGGGACACGUGGUAUCCUGUCUGAAUAUGGGGGGACCAUCCUCCAAGGCUAAAUACUCCUGACUGACCGAUAGUGAACCAGUACCGUGAGGGAAAGGCGAAAAGAACCCCGGCGAGGGGAGUGAAAAAGAACCUGAAACCGUGUACGUACAAGCAGUGGGAGCACGCUUAGGCGUGUGACUGCGUACCUUUUGUAUAAUGGGUCAGCGACUUAUAUUCUGUAGCAAGGUUAACCGAAUAGGGGAGCCGAAGGGAAACCGAGUCUUAACUGGGCGUUAAGUUGCAGGGUAUAGACCCGAAACCCGGUGAUCUAGCCAUGGGCAGGUUGAAGGUUGGGUAACACUAACUGGAGGACCGAACCGACUAAUGUUGAAAAAUUAGCGGAUGACUUGUGGCUGGGGGUGAAAGGCCAAUCAAACCGGGAGAUAGCUGGUUCUCCCCGAAAGCUAUUUAGGUAGCGCCUCGUGAAUUCAUCUCCGGGGGUAGAGCACUGUUUCGGCAAGGGGGUCAUCCCGACUUACCAACCCGAUGCAAACUGCGAAUACCGGAGAAUGUUAUCACGGGAGACACACGGCGGGUGCUAACGUCCGUCGUGAAGAGGGAAACAACCCAGACCGCCAGCUAAGGUCCCAAAGUCAUGGUUAAGUGGGAAACGAUGUGGGAAGGCCCAGACAGCCAGGAUGUUGGCUUAGAAGCAGCCAUCAUUUAAAGAAAGCGUAAUAGCUCACUGGUCGAGUCGGCCUGCGCGGAAGAUGUAACGGGGCUAAACCAUGCACCGAAGCUGCGGCAGCGACGCUUAUGCGUUGUUGGGUAGGGGAGCGUUCUGUAAGCCUGUGAAGGUGUGCUGUGAGGCAUGCUGGAGGUAUCAGAAGUGCGAAUGCUGACAUAAGUAACGAUAAAGCGGGUGAAAAGCCCGCUCGCCGGAAGACCAAGGGUUCCUGUCCAACGUUAAUCGGGGCAGGGUGAGUCGACCCCUAAGGCGAGGCCGAAAGGCGUAGUCGAUGGGAAACAGGUUAAUAUUCCUGUACUUGGUGUUACUGCGAAGGGGGGACGGAGAAGGCUAUGUUGGCCGGGCGACGGUUGUCCCGGUUUAAGCGUGUAGGCUGGUUUUCCAGGCAAAUCCGGAAAAUCAAGGCUGAGGCGUGAUGACGAGGCACUACGGUGCUGAAGCAACAAAUGCCCUGCUUCCAGGAAAAGCCUCUAAGCAUCAGGUAACAUCAAAUCGUACCCCAAACCGACACAGGUGGUCAGGUAGAGAAUACCAAGGCGCUUGAGAGAACUCGGGUGAAGGAACUAGGCAAAAUGGUGCCGUAACUUCGGGAGAAGGCACGCUGAUAUGUAGGUGAAGUCCCUCGCGGAUGGAGCUGAAAUCAGUCGAAGAUACCAGCUGGCUGCAACUGUUUAUUAAAAACACAGCACUGUGCAAACACGAAAGUGGACGUAUACGGUGUGACGCCUGCCCGGUGCCGGAAGGUUAAUUGAUGGGGUCAGCGCAAGCGAAGCUCUUGAUCGAAGCCCCGGUAAACGGCGGCCGUAACUAUAACGGUCCUAAGGUAGCGAAAUUCCUUGUCGGGUAAGUUCCGACCUGCACGAAUGGCGUAAUGAUGGCCAGGCUGUCUCCACCCGAGACUCAGUGAAAUUGAACUCGCUGUGAAGAUGCAGUGUACCCGCGGCAAGACGGAAAGACCCCGUGAACCUUUACUAUAGCUUGACACUGAACAUUGAGCCUUGAUGUGUA
rnacentral:rRNA from 1 species